CCGCGGGCGGACUCCCGGGCGGCGGGGACGCGCGGGGACCCGGCCGCGGGACGAGGGAGGCCGGCGGCUGGACACUACCUGCGGGAGAGCGAGUGAGGUUCUGGCCCUCCGAGUUGACCGCCUGCAGGUGUUUACAGAACAUCCACGGAGUUUGGGCCAAGCCCAGAGUGAGGAGCUGGGCACUGGGGUGGCAGAAGACCAGGCCUUGCCUUGAGCCCUUGUGCGAGCUUUACCUCAAAGCCUCUGUAAUCGAAGUGGGAGAAGGGGUGGUGGUGCGUGGUUGGUCUCAGCCACCUCCACCACUCCUCAGAAGAUGAACGCUGGAUCCAGGAAGAGAUUGUCAAGCCUCCCAAGCCCUGUGGGGACAGUGCACACAGACUAUGAUGGAUGCCUGAAGUGGGUUGCAUUACAAGAGAGGAGCACUGAGCUAAAGGAAUUUGCCUCUUUUAGGCUACACAGAAUUAAGCCUGCUCUUUGAAGGUGGGGAGAUGUUAUCUCAUCCCUCAAACGUUGCUUGCUACAAACACCGCCCAGAGAAAUGGACUGAUAAAGAGCUGGACAUUGGAGUGGCAGAACAGCAAGAAUGAUCAGAGAAGUUCAAGGGCCAUGGCAGAGAGCCUUUUCCAACAUAGUACAGUGUACUUAUACACUACAUAUGAAGGCCAGCUAAUCUAGUCUUGGGAGAACCAAGAGAGGCUUCUGAAAGAGAUGACAUCUAUGCCGAACCUUGAAGGUCAAACAGGAAUCAGCCACAUAAAGAGAAGGAGGAGAGCAUUCUGGAUAGCAGGAACAUCAUGUAUAAAACUUUGAAGUAAACGAUACACUCCGAGAAGUUUUUCAUUCCCUUUCACAUUCAUCUCCAUAUUGAACUCCAAUCUCAAACACCUAUAAUUAAAGUCAGUGUGUGACUCUGGAAGGUCUAGAUUCAAUACACUUCUGUGAAUUGCAGUGGCCUCUGGAAUCUUUACAUUAAUGUCACAUAAAAUUCACAGCUAAUUAUUGUCGACUCAGUUCAUAACAUUUCCACCUUUUCGGUAACUCUUCUUUUUUUACUCCACAGUCCGCCUGGUUAACAGUGAGGCUUUGUAACAGCAUAACUUUAACUAUGGCUACAGUUUAUUGGCUCCUAUUUUGGAAACUGACUCAUGCUGAACUAAUCCCCUUUCCCUGGGAGUUUAAAAUCAAGGUUAGGAGAUUUUUAACGUACCGACUGCUCUCCAACAGCAGCAUUAUAACCUUUGCUAUUUUUUUCCCUUGUAUUCUGAAAAUAGAAGAGAAAUACAGAAAACUCUCUGGGUUAUGUAUAGUGCACUAGAGUCUGGUACAGUUCAUGAGCAGCGUCUCUAUCUCUGGUUUCUGAGACAUCCUUGCAUCCUUAUAAUAAAUUCCUCUUUAACUUUA
rnacentral:lncRNA from 1 species